GAUCAUGGCUCAGAUUGAACGCUGGCGGCAUGCCUUACACAUGCAAGUCGAACGGCAGCACGGGGCAACCUGGUGGCGAGUGGCGAACGGGUGAGUAAUGCAUCGGAACGUGCCAUUGAGUGGGGGAUAACGUAGCGAAAGUUGCGCUAAUACCGCAUAUUCUGUGAGCAGGAAAGCAGGGGACCGCAAGGCCUUGCGCUCUUUGAGCGGCCGAUGUCAGAUUAGCUAGUUGGUGGGGUAAAGGCCUACCAAGGCGACGAUCCGUAGCGGGUCUGAGAGGAUGAUCCGCCACACUGGGACUGAGACACGGCCCAGACUCCUACGGGAGGCAGCAGUGGGGAAUUUUGGACAAUGGGCGAAAGCCUGAUCCAGCCAUGCCGCGUGAGUGAAGAAGGCCUUCGGGUUGUAAAGCUCUUUCGGUGGGGAAGAAAUUGCACGGGUUAAUAGCCUGUGUAGAUGACGGUACCUGGAGAAGAAGCACCGGCUAACUACGUG
rnacentral:rRNA from 1 species